rnacentral:rRNA from 1 species
CGGGUGAGUAAUGCCUAGGAAUCUGCCUGGUAGUGGGGGACAACGUUUCGAAAGGAACGCUAAUACCGCAUACGUCCUACGGGAGAAAGCAGGGGACCUUCGGGCCUUGCGCUAUCAGAUGAGCCUAGGUCGGAUUAGCUAGUUGGUGAGGUAAUGGCUCACCAAGGCGACGAUCCGUAACUGGUCUGAGAGGAUGAUCAGUCACACUGGAACUGAGUCACGGUCCAGACUCCUACGGGAGGCAGCAGAG